GACGAACGCUGGCGGCGUGCUUAACACGUGCAAGUCGAACGGUAAGGCCCUUUCGGUGGUACACGAGUGGCGAACGGGUGAGUAACACGUGGGUGAUCUGCCCUGCACUUUGGGAUAAGCCUGGGAAACUGGGUCUAAUACCGGAUAGGACUACGCGAUGCAUGUCGUGUGGUGGAAAGCUUUUGCGGUUUGUGAUGGGCCCGCGGCCUAUCAGCUUGUUGGUGGGGUGAUGGCCUACCAAGGCGACGACGGGUAGCCGGCCUGAGAGGGUGUCCGGCCACAAUGGGACUGAGAUACGGCCCAGAAUGCUACGGGAGGCAGCAGUGGGGAAGAUUGCACAAUGGGCGCAAGCCUGAUGCAGAGACGCCGCGUGGGGGAUGACGGCCUUCGGGUUGUAAACACAUUUCAGCACAGACGAAGCGUAAGUGACGGUAUGUGCAGAAGAAGCACCGGCCAACUACGUG
rnacentral:rRNA from 1 species